rnacentral:rRNA from 1 species
CUACGUGCCAGCAGCCGCGGUAAUACGGAGGGUGCGAGCGUUAAUCGGAAUAACUGGGCGUAAAGGGCACGCAGGCGGCUAUUUAAGUGAGGUGUGAAAUCCCCGGGCUUAACCUGGGAAUUGCAUUUCAGACUGGGUAGCUAGAGUACUUUAGGGAGGGGUAGAAUUCCACGUGUAGCGGUGAAAUGCGUAGAGAUGUGGAGGAAUACCGAAGGCGAAGGCAGCCCCUUGGGAAUGUACUGACGCUCAUGUGCGAAAGCGUGGGGAGCAAACAGGAUUAGAUACCCUGGUAGUCCACGCUGUAAACGAUGUCGAUUUGGGGGUUGAACUUUAAGUUUGGCGCCCGUAGCUAACGUGAUAAAUCGACCGCCUGGGGAGUACGGCCGCAAGGUUAAAACUCAAAUGAAUUGACGGGGGCCCGCACAAGCGGUGGAGCAUGUGGUUUAAUUCGAUGCAACGCGAAGAACCUUACCUACUCUUGACAUCCAGA